GAAUGCUGACAUAAGUAACGAUAAAGCGGGUGAAAAGCCCGCUCGCCGGAAGACCAAGGGUUCCUGUCCAACGUUAAUCGGGGCAGGGUGAGUCGACCCCUAAGGCGAGGCCGAAAGGCGUAGUCGAUGGGAAACGGGUUAAUAUUCCCGUACUUGGUGUUACUGCGAAGGGGGGACGGAGAAGGCUAUGUUGGCCGGGCGACGGUUGUCCCGGUUUAAGCGUGUAGGUGUGUGUUCCAGGUAAAUCCGGUUCACUUUAACACUGAGGCGUGACGACGAGGCACUACGGUGCUGAAGCAACAAAUGCCCUGCUUCCAGGAAAAGCCUCUAAGCAUCAGGUAACAUCAAAUCGUACCCCAAACCGACACAGGUGGUCAGGUAGAGAAUACCAAGGCGCUUGAGAGAACUCGGGUGAAGGAACUAGGCAAAAUGGUGCCGUAACUUCGGGAGAAGGCACGCUGACACGUAGGUGAAGUGAUUUACUCAUGGAGCUGAAGUCAGUCGAAGAUACCAGCUGGCUGCAACUGUUUAUUAAAAACACAGCACUGUGCAAACACGAAAGUGGACGUAUACGGUGUGACGCCUGCCCGGUGCCGGAAGGUUAAUUGAUGGGGUCAGCGCAAGCGAAGCUCCUGAUCGAAGCCCCGGUAAACGGCGGCCGUAACUAUAACGGUCCUAAGGUAGCGAAAUUCCUUGUCGGGUAAGUUCCGACCUGCACGAAUGGCGUAAUGAUGGCCAGGCUGUCUCCACCCGAGACUCAGUGAAAUUGAACUCGCUGUGAAGAUGCAGUGUACCCGCGGCAAGACGGAAAGACCCCGUGAACCUUUACUAUAGCUUGACACUGAACAUUGAGCCUUGAUGUGUAGGAUAGGUGGGAGGCUUUGAAGUGUGGACGCCAGUCUGCAUGGAGCCGACCUUGAAAUACCACCCUUUAAUGUUUGAUGUUCUAACGUGGACCCGUUACCCGGGUUGCGGACAGUGUCUGGUGGGUAGUUUGACUGGGGCGGUCUCCUCCUAAAGAGUAACGGAGGAGCACGAAGGUUGGCUAAUCCUGGUCGGACAUCAGGAGGUUAGUGCAAUGGCAUAAGCCAGCUUGACUGCGAGCGUGACGGCGCGAGCAGGUGCGAAAGCAGGUCAUAGUGAUCCGGUGGUUCUGAAUGGAAGGGCCAUCGCUCAACGGAUAAAAGGUACUCCGGGGAUAACAGGCUGAUACCGCCCAAGAGUUCAUAUCGACGGCGGUGUUUGGCACCUCGAUGUCGGCUCAUCACAUCCUGGGGCUGAAGUAGGUCCCAAGGGUAUGGCUGUUCGCCAUUUAAAGUGGUACGCGAGCUGGGUUUAGAACGUCGUGAGACAGUUCGGUCCCUAUCUGCCGUGGGCGCUGGAGAACUGAGGGGGGCUGCUCCUAGUACGAGAGGACCGGAGUGGACGCAUCACUGGUGUUCGGGUUGUCAUGCCAAUGGCACUGCCCGGUAGCUAAAUGCGGAAGAGAUAAGUGCUGAAAGCAUCUAAGCACGAAACUUGCCCCGAGAUGAGUUCUCCCUGAGACUUAGAGUCUCCUGAA
rnacentral:rRNA from 3 species